rnacentral:rRNA from 1 species
AAUCAACGCUGGCGGCGUGCCUCAGACAUGCAAGUCGAACGCGAAAGCUCCCUUCGGGGGGCAAGUAGAGUGGCGCACGGGUGAGUAACACGUAGGUAAUCUACCUUUGGAUUGGGAAUAACCACCGGAAACGGUGGCUAAUACCGAAUAAUGCAGCGGCACCUAAUGGUGACAGUUGUUAAAGCGGGGGAUCGCAAGACCUCGCGUCUAAAGAGGAGCCUGCGGCGGAUUAGCUAGUUGGUAAGGUAACGGCUUACCAAGGCGAUGAUCCGUAGCCGGCCUGAGAGGGCGGUCGGCCACACUGACACUGACAUACGGGUCAGACUCCUACGGGAGGCAGCAGUCGGGAAUUUUGGGCAAUGGGCGAAAGCCUGACCCAGCAACGCCGCGUGAAGGAUGAAAUCCCUCGGGAUGUAAACUUCGCAAGAACGGGAAGAAUAAGCCGGUGUUAAUACCUCCGGCGAUGACGGUACUGUUUGUAAGCUCCGGCUAACUCCGUGCCAGCAGCCGCGGUAAUACGGGGGGAGCAAGCGUUGUUCGGAUUUACUGGGCGUAAAGGGCGCGUAGGCGGCCACCGCAAGUCGACUGUGAAAUCUCCGGGCUUAACCCGGAAAGGUCAGCCGAUACUGCGGGGCUAGAGUGCAGAAGGGGCAACUGGAAUUCUC